rnacentral:tRNA from 1 species
GCGAAAGUGGCGGAAUUGGUAGACGCACUGGAUUUAGGUUCCAGCGCCGCAAGGCGUGAGAGUUCGAAUCUCUCCUUUCGCACCA